GACGAACGCUGGCGGCGUGCUUAACACAUGCAAGUCGAGCGGUAAGGCCCUUUCGGGGGUACGACGAGCGGCGAACGGGUGAGUAACACGUGGGUGACCUGCCCUCAGCUCUGGGAUAAGCCUGGGAAACUGGGUCUAAUACCGGAUAUGACUCCAUGACGCAUGUUGUGGGGUGGAAAGCCUUGUGCGGCUGAGGAUGGGCCCGCGGCCCAUCAGCUUGUUGGU
rnacentral:rRNA from 1 species